rnacentral:rRNA from 1 species
AACAGGAUUAGAUACCCUGGUAGUCCACGCCCUAAACGAUGUCAACUAGUUGUCGGGUCUUAAUUGACUUGGUAACGCAGCUAACGCGUGAAGUUGACCGCCUGGGGAGUACGGUCGCAAGAUUAAAACUCAAAGGAAUUGACGGGGACCCGCACAAGCGGUGGAUGAUGUGGAUUAAUUCGAUGCAACGCGAAAAACCUUACCUACCCUUGACAUGUCAGGAACCCCGCUGAGAGGUGGGGGUGCUCGAAAGAGAGCCUGAACACAGGUGCUGCAUGGCUGUCGUCAGCUCGUGUCGUGAGAUGUUGGGUUAAGUCCCGCAACGAGCGCAACCCUUGUCAUUAGUUGCUACGAAAGGGCACUCUAAUGAGACUGCCGGUGACAAACCGGAGGAAGGUGGGGAUGACGUCAAGUCCUCAUGGCCCUUAUGGGUAGGGCUUCACACGUCAUACAAUGGUACAUACAGAGGGCCGCCAACCCGCGAGGGGGAGCUAAUCCCAGAAAGUGUAUCGUAGUCCGGAUUGUAGUCUGCAACUCGACUACAUGAAGUUGGAAUCGCUAGUAAUCGCGGAUCAGCAUGUCGCGGUGAAUACGUUCCCGGGUCUUGUACACACCGCCCGUCACACCAUGGGAGCGGGUUUUACCAGAAGUAGGUAGCUUAACCGCAAGGAGGGCGCUUACCACGGUAGGAUUCGUGACUGGGGUGAAGUCGUAACAAGGUAACC